UACGAAGGGGGCUAGCGUUGUUCGGAUUUACUGGGCGUAAAGCGCACGUAGGCGGAUCGAUCAGUCAGGGGUGAAAUCCCAGGGCUCAACCCUGGAACUGCCUUUGAUACUGUCGGUCUAGAGUGAGGAAGAGGAAAGUGGAAUUCCGCGUGUAGUGGUGAAAUGCGUAGAUAUCAGGAGGAACACCAAUGGCGAAGGCAGCUCGCUGGGACGGUACUGACGCUGAGACGCGAAAGCGUGGGGAGCAAACAGG
rnacentral:rRNA from 1 species